rnacentral:lncRNA from 1 species
CAGAAUAGACUUGUAAACGGGUCAGGUUUAUUGGGUUUGGGUUGGGUUUAACCUGACCUGUUAAUUUAAUGGAUCACCCGAACCCAACCCGUUAAGCCUAAUAAGUCACCCGUUUCACCCGUUAACAAUUUUUUAUGUUUUUUUUUUUACAUUUUGCAUUCCAAUACAAAUUACACAUCUUUUACCCAAAAUUACAAACAUUAACUAACAGUCUAACAUCUUUUAUAUAUAUGUGUGUGUGUGUGUGUGUGUAUAUAUAUAUAUGUAUAUGUAUAUGUAUAUGUAUAUGUAUAUGUAUCAAACUACAAUCUUCCAAAUCAACUAAUUAAUAAAACUCCAUAGCCUCAGUGUUCUCUUCAUCAAUAUCCAUCUGCACUAAUCAUAAACAUAAGAUGCAUCAGAUGCCAAGGAAGUGGAGACAACGAAAAUGCAGAGUAGCAUGUUAGUUAACAGUUAACUUAAUAAAAAGCAGAUUUCUAAAACAAUUUCAAGUAUCUCAACAAACCGCAAGGACAAAUUAUGUACUCAGUUCCCAGAUUAAACUUGUUGAAGUACCAUCUACUGUGAGAAAAGAUAGAAAAAAAACCCCCGAGAACUCAUCUAGUUAAAAGAAACCGAAAGCAAUGACUACUAUGACUUAAUGCAAUCCAAAUUAGAAAUCGAAAUGGAUCUAGAAUUCCCUAAAAUCAAAAGAACUAAUCUUUCUAAACUACACUGUAACCAUCUACCAACUCCUAGUAGUCCAAUUUCACACAACCCCAUUUCAGAAAACAAUCGAAAACCCACAAUUUUGCAAACAAUUCCAACCCUAAAUUCAUUCCAAGCAUCAAAUCCAUUAAGCAAUUUUAAUUUUCAACACCCACAAAAAAGAGACAACAAAAGCAGAAUGAAACAAAACCCCAAAUUGAUGACAUGUGUAAGCAUUAAUUUCAUUCCAAAUUCCAAUCAAUAAAAAUCCACACUUUCAGAAGAACCCAGAAACAAAAACAUAAGAAAUCAGAUCCAAAACAACAAAAAACCCAUAUUUUAGAGAGAGAGGAUUACCAGGAGCAAUCUUGAGGAGGGACAAAAAAGAAGGUGCAAGAAGAUGAUGAGGGAGAUAACCGGAGGUCCGGAGCUAGAAGGAAAGGAGCACGGCGUGCACGAGAGUGGAGAUGGACUGAGGUCUGAGGGUUUUCUAUUAAGACUACUGAAAUUACACAAAAGUUCUCAAUAAACGGGUGAUUAACGGGUUUCGCAAGUUCACCCAAAAUGACCCAUUAUUUAACGAGUGAUUAACGGGUUGACCCGUUAACCACCAGACCCGUUUAUCACCCAUCUGAAAAUUAAUUUUAACGGGUCGGAUCGAGUCGGGUUAACGUGAGAUUGCCAAGUGUCCAAAACAAUUGAUGCCCCUGAAACAGUGGGAGGAUGCCUUUCUUGCAGAAUUUUCAUAGCUAAGGCUAGUAUGUUCGCCUCCUGAUUUUUCUUCGUCCACUUCCCAUACAAGAACUAAUUAUUGGCAUAGUAAACAUGAAAAUUGAUUAAAAGUUGGUGAGCUCUGCUUAUUUUAGUUCACUUCCAUUGGGUUUAAUAUUCUGGGCUAGAAAAAUUAAAGUCAAAUCAAUUAAACUACGAACAAUUCAUGUGGAAUGUUGAAUUUAAAUAGUUUGAUAGUAAAAUAUAUUUGGGAUUGGUCUUCAAAUUCCAUCCCAAAAAAUUUCGGUUUGGGAUUCGGGAUACUAGUUUCGGUUCGGUAUCGUAUACCGAACCAGCCGUCUUACUACCCAUUCUCACAACUUCAUCUAAACUGUUCUACAUGUAUAAGAUUUGUGUUCAUGGAGGUGGCCUCAGACGGAUUUCAAGCUGGGCUGUAGAGAUUUGACUCAAAUUGGUGCAUUUGGGAAAGAAACUAAGAAACCCUACAAUUUUCUUUUGGUUGUAAGAGCUGAAAUGGACAUACAUGUGCUUUUCUUUGUGAGAUAUAGGAGAUUGAGAAAUUUUUUGUUUAUCGUUCUGGGGUGAGAGGAGUGUUGUCAAAUAUAAGAGAAUUAGUAAUUUUAAUUAAUUUAAUAAAUUUAGAAUAGAGAGUUAGCGUUCUACAAAAAAAAUGUUAAUAAAUUGGUUAAUGGGUUUUCAAUUCCUUGUUAUUAUUGGCUCUGAUGCUUUUGGAUAACUUAUGUGUAUGGUAGGAUUGAUAUGUUCUAUAUAUGUGAGCUUGCUUGAAAUAUAGCUAGGAAACAUCUUUCCUUUUUUUAGAAUACCCUGACAGCUCCAUGCCUCUCAGCCCAAAGCCAGAGAUUAUUUCUCUUGGCCCGCAGCCAACAACCAUAAUCCUUGCCUGUGGCGUAUAGUGACCACUAGAUAAACACAAAACCAUUAAACAUAGACUUUCCAAACAUAGGUGUGUGUAUAUAUA